rnacentral:rRNA from 1 species
UUAAGCGACUAAGCGUACACGGUGGAUGCCCUGGCAGUCAGAGGCGAUGAAGGACGUGCUAAUCUGCGAAAAGCGUCGGUAAGGUGAUAUGAACCGUUAUAGCCGGCGAUGUCCGAAUGGGGAAACCCAGUGAUUCGUCACACUAUCGUUAACUGAAUACAUAGGUUAACGAGGCGAACCGGGGGAACUGAAACAUCUAAGUACCCCGAGGAAAAGAAAUCAACCGAGAUUCCCCCAGUAGCGGCGAGCGAACGGGGAGCAGCCCAGAGUCUGAAUCAGCUUGUGUGUUAGUGGAACGGUCUGGAAAGUCCGACGGUACAGGGUGAUAGUCCCGUACACCAAAAUGCACAGGUUGUGAACUCGAAGAGUAGGGCGGGACACGUGGUAUCCUGUCUGAAUAUGGGGGGACCAUCCUCCAAGGCUAAAUACUCCUGACUGACCGAUAGUGAACCAGUACCGUGAGGGAAAGGCGAAAAGAACCCCGGCGAGGGGAGUGAAAAAGAACCUGAAACCGUGUACGUACAAGCAGUGGGAGCACCUUUAUGGUGUGACUGCGUACCUUUUGUAUAAUGGGUCAGCGACUUAUAUUCUGUAGCAAGGUUAACCGUAUAGGGGAGCCGCAGGGAAACCGAGUCUUAACUGGGCGUUAAGUUGCAGGGUAUAGACCCGAAACCCGGUGAUCUAGCCAUGGGCAGGUUGAAGGUUGGGUAACACUAACUGGAGGACCGAACCGACUAAUGUUGAAAAAUUAGCGGAUGACUUGUGGCUGGGGGUGAAAGGCCAAUCAAACCGGGAGAUAGCUGGUUCUCCCCGAAAGCUAUUUAGGUAGCGCCUCGUGAACUCAUCUUCGGGGGUAGAGCACUGUUUCGGCUAGGGGGUCAUCCCGACUUACCAACCCGAUGCAAACUACGAAUACCGAAGAAUGUUAUCACGGGAGACACACGGCGGGUGCUAACGUCCGUCGUGAAGAGGGAAACAACCCAGACCGCCAGCUAAGGUCCCAAAGUCAUGGUUAAGUGGGAAACGAUGUGGGAAGGCACAGACAGCCAGGAUGUUGGCUUAGAAGCAGCCAUCAUUUAAAGAAAGCGUAAUAGCUCACUGGUCGAGUCGGCCUGCGCGGAAGAUGUAACGGGGCUAAACCAUGCACCGAAGCUGCGGCAGCGACACUAUGUGUUGUUGGGUAGGGGAGCGUUCUGUAAGCCUGCGAAGGUGACCUGUGAGGGUUGCUGGAGGUAUCAGAAGUGCGAAUGCUGACAUAAGUAACGAUAAAGCGGGUGAAAAGCCCGCUCGCCGGAAGACCAAGGGUUCCUGUCCAACGUUAAUCGGGGCAGGGUGAGUCGACCCCUAAGGCGAGGCCGAAAGGCGUAGUCGAUGGGAAACAGGUUAAUAUUCCUGUACUUGGUGUUACUGCGAAGGGGGGACGGAGAAGGCUAUGUUAGCCGGGCGACGGUUGUCCCGGUUUAAGCAUGUAGGCUGGUUAUCCAGGCAAAUCCGGAUAAUCAAGGCUGAGGUGUGAUGACGAGGCACUACGGUGCUGAAGUAACAAAUGCCCUGCUUCCAGGAAAAGCCUCUAAGCAUCAGGUAACAUCAAAUCGUACCCCAAACCGACACAGGUGGUCAGGUAGAGAAUACCAAGGCGCUUGAGAGAACUCGGGUGAAGGAACUAGGCAAAAUGGUGCCGUAACUUCGGGAGAAGGCACGCUGGUGUGUAGGUGAAGUCCCUGCGGAUGGAGCUGAGACCAGUCGAAGAUACCAGCUGGCUGCAACUGUUUAUUAAAAACACAGCACUGUGCAAACACGAAAGUGGACGUAUACGGUGUGACGCCUGCCCGGUGCCGGAAGGUUAAUUGAUGGGGUUAUCCGUAAGGAGAAGCUCUUGAUCGAAGCCCCGGUAAACGGCGGCCGUAACUAUAACGGUCCUAAGGUAGCGAAAUUCCUUGUCGGGUAAGUUCCGACCUGCACGAAUGGCGUAAUGAUGGCCAGGCUGUCUCCACCCGAGACUCAGUGAAAUUGAACUCGCUGUGAAGAUGCAGUGUACCCGCGGCAAGACGGAAAGACCCCGUGAACCUUUACUAUAGCUUGACACUGAACAUUGAGCCUUGAUGUGUAGGAUAGGUGGGAGGCUUUGAAGCGUGGACGCCAGUCUGCGUGGAGCCAACCUUGAAAUACCACCCUUUAAUGUUUGAUGUUCUAACGUUGGCCCCUUAUCGGGGUUGCGGACAGUGUCUGGUGGGUAGUUUGACUGGGGCGGUCUCCUCCCAAAGCGUAACGGAGGAGCACGAAGGUUAGCUAAUCCUGGUCGGACAUCAGGAGGUUAGUGCAAUGGCAUAAGCUAGCUUGACUGCGAGCGUGACGGCGCGAGCAGGUGCGAAAGCAGGUCAUAGUGAUCCGGUGGUUCUGAAUGGAAGGGCCAUCGCUCAACGGAUAAAAGGUACUCCGGGGAUAACAGGCUGAUACCGCCCAAGAGUUCAUAUCGACGGCGGUGUUUGGCACCUCGAUGUCGGCUCAUCACAUCCUGGGGCUGAAGUAGGUCCCAAGGGUAUGGCUGUUCGCCAUUUAAAGUGGUACGCGAGCUGGGUUUAGAACGUCGUGAGACAGUUCGGUCCCUAUCUGCCGUGGGCGCUGGAGAAUUGAGGGGGGCUGCUCCUAGUACGAGAGGACCGGAGUGGACGCAUCACUGGUGUUCGGGUUGUCAUGCCAAUGGCACUGCCCGGUAGCUAAAUGCGGAAGAGAUAAGUGCUGAAAGCAUCUAAGCACGAAACUUGCCCCGAGAUGAGUUCUCCCUGAGACUUUAAGUCUCCUGAAGGAACGUUGAAGACGACGACGUUGAUAGGCCGGGUGUGUAAGCGCAGCGAUGCGUUGAGCUAACCGGUACUAAUGAACCGUGAGGCUUAACCU